UUGAGUCCACGUGGGUAACCUGCCUGUAAGACUGGGAUAACUCCGGGAAACCGGGGCUAAUACCGGAUAACUCAUUUCCUCGCAUGAGGAAAUGUUGAAAGGUGGCUUUUAGCUACCACUUACAGAUGGACCCGCGGCGCAUUAGCUAGUUGGUGAGGUAACGGCUCACCAAGGCGACGAUGCGUAGCCGACCUGAGAGGGUGAUCGGCCACACUGGGACUGAGACACGGCCCAGACUCCUACGGGAGGCAGCAGUAGGGAAUCUUCCGCAAUGGACGAAAGUCUGACGGAGCAACGCCGCGUGAGUGAUGAAGGUUUUCGGAUCGUAAAGCUCUGUUGUUAGGGAAAAACAAAGUGCCGGUUCGAAUAGGGCGGC
rnacentral:rRNA from 1 species